rfam:Triticum aestivum genome assembly, contig: Triticum_aestivum_CS42_TGACv1_scaffold_252350_3DL
UCCACUAUUCAGUUGGUAGAAUACAAAGCUCUUAACCUUGUGGACGUGGGUUCGAGCCCCAUGGUGGAG